GACGAACGCUGGCGGCGUGCUUAACACAUGCCAGUCGAACGGAAAGGCCCUGCUUUUGUGGGGUGCUCGAGUGGCGAACGGGUGAGUAACACGUGAGUAACCUGCCCUUGACUUUGGGAUAACUUCAGGAAACUGGGGCUAAUACCGGAUAGGAGCUCCUGCUGCAUGGUGGGGGUUGGAAAGUUUCGGCGGUUGGGGAUGGACUCGCGGCUUAUCAGCUUGUUGGUGGGGUAGUGGCUUACCAAGGCUUUGACGGGUAGCCGGCCUGGGAGGGUGACCGGCCACAUUGGGACUGAGAUACGGCCCAGACGCCUACGGGAGGCAGCAGUGGGGAAUAUUGCACAAUGGGCGGACGCCUGAUGCAGCAACGCCGCGUGCGGGAUGACGGCCUUCGGGUUGUAAACCGCUUUCGCCUGUGACGAAGCGUGAGUGACGGUAAUGGGUAAAGAAGCACCGGCUAACUACGUG
rnacentral:rRNA from 1 species